AUUGAACGCUGGCGGCAGGCCUAACACAUGCAAGUCGAACGAUUGGCGGACGGGUGAGUAAUGUCUGGGAAACUGCCUGAUGGAGGGGGAUAACUACUGGAAACUGUAGCUAAUCCCGCAUUCCAUCCGAUGUGCCCGGAUGGGAUUAGCUUGUUGGUGGGGUAACGGCGCACCACGGCGACGAUCCCUAGCUGGUCUGAGAGGAUUACCAGCCACAGGGGAACGGAGACAAGGUCCAGACUCCUACGGGAGGCAGCAGUUGGGAAUAUUGCACAAUGGGCGAAAGCCUGAUGCAGCCAUGGGGCGGGUAUGAAGAAGGCCUUCGGGUGGUAAAGUACUUUCAGCGGGGAGGCGUUACCCGCAGAAGAAGCACCGGCUAACUCCGUGCCAGCAGCCGCGGUAAUAC
rnacentral:rRNA from 1 species